rnacentral:lncRNA from 1 species
CGGCAUGUGAAGGUUCCCAGGCUGGGAGUCAAAUUGGAGCUACAGCUGCCAGCCUACAACACAGCCACAGCAAUGCAGGAUCUAAGCUGCAUCUGCAACCUACACCACAGCUCAUGGCGGUGCCAGUUUUAACCCACUGAGCGAUGCCAGGGAUUGAACCCACAACCUCAUGGUUCCUAGUUGGAUUUGUUUGCGCUGCGCCACGAUGGGAACUCCCAGGUUUUGAUUUUUUUAAAAAAGCACAUAAAACCUAAAGCAACAUCCAUUCAAUACUGGUCCAGGGGCUCACUGGAAGGGACUCAACAGAAACACUUCUGAUCUGGCUCCCAGUCCUCAUGGCUCUUUUGCUGUGUACAUUCAAUGACAACAAAUUCAUCACCUUUUCUCCUUUCAAAUGUGAAUAGUUUACAUCUUCUGUUUUCAGAACCUACAUGGUGGGCGGGGUGGGGGGGGGAAUAAAACAAUAAGAUAUUUCAAAGAAAAAUUCAACAAACUCUAUUAAAAGGAAAACUUUUCACACUUUGAACUCAGCAUUUUCAUUCUUACAAAACACUCCCUCAAUGCAAAGAUGUGUGUUCUAGAAUGUCCUACUGAAGAAUUGGCCCAUAAAUAGGGGCAUGGUUAAAUAAAUUAAGUAAUGGACACAAAAUGGAAUACUACAAGGCCUUUAAAAACAGUGAAGCAGAGUUCCCGUCGUGGCGCAGUGGUUAACGAAUCCGACUAGGAACCAUGAGGUUGCGGGUUCGGUCCCUGCCCUUGCUCAGUGGGUUAAUGAUCCGGCAUUGCCGUGAGUUGUGGUGUAGGUUGCAGACGCGGCUCAGAUCCCGCGUUGCUGUGGUUCUGGCGUAGGCCAGUGGCUACAGCUCCGAUUCGACCCCUAGCCUGGGAACCUCCAUAUGCCGCAGGAGCUCAUGGCCCCUCAUGACUCCAUUAACCCUUAUUCUGAAGCAUUUGAUGUACUCACCACAGUGCGUUCAUAUAUAUGUUACCAUUUGCAUUAGCAUGAUUCUAUUCUUGUUCAUCUUCAUCUUGAUGAUGAGCUCCUUGAACGACUUGACGCUUUGUAUGGAACUUCCCAUAAUCCUUCAGGGCCUAUUGCCAGAUCUGCUCGGUAGAUCUUGGGACUGAAGCCUUAAUGUAAUAUUUGCAUUUGUUGACUGCUUAAUAUUCAUCAUCAAUGAUCCUAAUAAAUCAAUGUUUUUCCUAUAUAGCCCUAUAUGUUUUCUUUACUGAAUUAUGAAAAUGUCCCUCAUUUGAGUAGCUUCUUAAUUAAUAGAUAAUUCCAGUAAAUUCAAGUCUUCUCUUGAUUUUUUUCUUCUUGGUAUAGGGGAGAUGUGUCAUAUAGUGUCAUUAGAAGGUUUCCAAAUGGAAAAACUUGACAACCAUUGUGUUUAAAAAAAAAAAAAAAGACAAUGGCAGAGAAUUUCUCUAUUUCUCUACUUCAAUGCUAACAAGACUAAAUGCUAUUUAUAUCAUAAAUGACCAAGGAAACAGGACUAGACUGCCAGCUGGUUGAUAACAUGUGGUUGAGAAAAGAGCUAUAAGGUAAUUGGUUAUCAUAUUGAUUCUAGGUUAUCUUCCUAGUGUAGUCUAAGUGGAGAGACAAACAUACCCUUACCUAAAUGAAUGAAUCAAAUAUAAUUUUCAUUUAGCUCCACAAAUAUCUGAAUAUGUACCUUUAACAUCUCAUUGGCAGGAGAAACCACAUGGUCUACAUCUGCAGUCAGUUUUUCUUUAGAGUGUGUAUUCUAUAUACAAUCAAUGACUAAUGUGAAAAGAAAAUUAAGAAAAUAAUCUCAUUUACUAUGGCAUCCAAAUAGAUAAAUUGCAUAGGAAUAAACUUAACCAAGGAGGUGAAAGUCUGGUACAUUGAAAACUAUAAAGUAUCGCUAAAAGAAAUCAAAGAAGAUACAAAUAAAUGGAGACAUCCUGUGCUUAGGUUUUCAAGACUUAAUAUUGGCAAAAUGUCUCUACUAACUAAAGCAAUGUACAAAUUCAAUGGAAUCCAUACCUAAAUCUGAAUAACAUUUUUUUUUGCAGAAGUAAAAAAAAUUCCAAAAUUCAUAUGUAACUUCGAGGCAUCCCAAAUAGCCAAAUUUUUUUUCAUCCUUUUCCAUCUCUUUUUGUGCUUUUUUAUUUUAUUUUAUUUUAUUUUUGUCUUUUUGCCAUUUCUUGGGCCACUCCUGCAGCACAUGGAGGUUCCCAGGCUAAGGGUCAAAUCGGAGCUGUAGCUGCCAGCCUACGCCAGAGCCACAGCAACGUGGGAUCCGAGCCAUGUCUGCAACCUACACCACAACUCACGGCAAUGCUGGAUCGUUAACCCACUGAGCAAGUGCAGGGAUCGAACCUGCAACCUCAUGGUUCCUAGUCGGAUUCAUUAACCACUGCGCCACGACGGGGAACUCCGCAAAUUAAUCUUGAAAAAGAACAAAGUUGGAGGCCUCACAUUCCUGAUUCCAAAACCUACUACAAGGAGUUCCCAUUGUGGCUCAGCAGGUUAAGAACCUAACAUAGUGUCUGUGAAGAUG